rnacentral:rRNA from 1 species
AUGGGCUAUUCAGCUGUCAAAUUGGAUAUGAGUAAAGCCUAUGAUCGUGUUGAAUGGACAUUUUUAAAAGAUAUGAUGCAACGGCUAGGCUUUAAGCGGUAUUGGAUUGAACUGAUAAUGCGUUGUGUCUCAACUGUUAAGUACCAGAUCAAGGUGAAUCACGACACAACUGAAAUAAUUACACCUCAAAGAGGCUUGCGCCAAGGAGAUCCACUCUCUCCAUACUUGUUCCUCAUAUGCGCAGAGGGGUUAUCUACCAUGUUACAUGAAGCUGAGAUGAGGGGGUCACUGAGGGGGAUUAAGAUCUGUAGAGAAGCGCCCAGUGUAAGUCACUUGUUGUUUGCAAAUGACUCAUUGCUACUCAUGGAGGCUAAUGCUGAGAGUGCCCAUGAAGUUAACAAAAUAUUGAACUCCUAUGAAACUGCUUCAGGCCAAAUGAUUAACAAAGACAAGUCCUCAAUAUUAUUCAGCACAAACACAAGUCAAGAGAUGAAGAAGGAAAUGAGAAGUAUUCUACAGAUUAAGUCGGAAGGUUUAACCUCGAAAUAUCUAGGUGUUCCAUCCUACGUGGGUAAAGCCAGAGCGAGAUGCUUUGAAUAUAUAAAAGAGAGAGUGUGGAAAAAGAUCCAAGGCUGGAAGGAAAAACUCCUUUCAAAAGGUGGGAAACAAAUCCUUAUUAAAGCAGUAGCACAAGCAAUCCCGGUGUAUUCCUUGGCUUGCUAUGAUCUAACCAAGUCCUUGUGCGACGAGCUAAGCUCCAUGAUCAAUAAAUAUUGGUGGAGUCAAAUAGAUAAGGAGAAUAAAACACACUGGGUCAGCUGGGAAAAACUGACGAAGACAAAGAAGACCGGGGGUCUAGGAUUCAGGGACCUCCAUGCUUUCAAUAUAGCCAUGCUUGCGAGACAAGCUUGGAGGCUUAUUCAAAAUCCAAACUCAUUAUGUGCGCAGGUUUUGUCUGCAAGGUACUACCCAAAUGACUCGAUUCUAAAUGCCAGUCCCAAGGGUGGUAUCUCCUACACAUGGCGCAGUAUAUUAAAAGGGAUAAACUUGCUAAAGAAGGGGAUUAUAUGGAGAGUUGGUAGCGGUAACAACAUUAAUAUCUGGUCUGAUCCAUGGAUUCCGAGAGGAAGUACUAGAAGAGUCAUCACUCAAAGGGGUAGAAAUGCUAUUACCAAAGUUAAUGAGCUGAUUGAUCCCACCACAAACAAUUGGGAUGAGGAUCUAGUAAGGCAAACCUUCCUUCCUGAAGAUGCAAAGAUUAUCCUACAGCUCCCAAUUCAUGAACAUAACGAUGAUAUUAUAGCAUGGCAUUUUGAUAAAAAAGAUGAAGAAGGAGGAGGUCUGAACUGGCAGAAGUUGUGGUUGCUUCCCCUCCCAAACAAGGUUCUUCACUUUCUGUGGCGCUUAUCUACGGACAGCUUACCCCUGCGCAUGAAGCUACGACACAGAGGUGAAACAGAAUGA